AUGGAGAAGGGAGAUGGAGAAAGGGAUGAGGGAGCACACCUGUGCCCACCCCCACCCGCCGGCCAGCCCGAGGGGAGGCCCCAGCCCCGAGCCCGAGAAGGAGGACAAAUGGUGGUUUUGUCCUUGGCCAGUGGGCGGCCUACGCCGCACAAUGACCCUUUCAUCAGGCUGAGGGAGCCCUGGGCUGGGAUUUCAUCUGACAAGGGCGGGCGCCGGCCUCCUGUCCCCUUGCUGGGGGAGUGGGGCGGGGGGGCCUAUCUGAGCCGGACCCAGGGCCACGCAAAAUGGAGGCCUCAGGGGAGCCAGCUGAAGCCCUCCAUCUGUCCCAAGAGGGCGCCUCCAACUGCUGCCUGUACCACCCGGAGGCCCCAAGACCCUAGGACUCCUCCUCCAUGCAUCAUGGGCCAUUACCCUGGGCUCUGGGGGACCUCAGGAAAGGGCCUGACGGACCCUGGCAUUCUGUCUGUCCACUGGUGCUGCGAGGCUCCCUGGAGAGGGACCCUGGGUGAAUAUGUUUGAGGGCAAGUAUUGUUCCUUGUUCUAGGCGUCUCAUGCUCCUAGGUGGUCUGGGCAACUCCUAUCCAUCCUUCAAAACCCUGCCUAGGAAACAGGUUUCCUCCUCCUCCUCCUCCUUCUCCUCCUUCUCCAGGAGCUGAGAGCAACCCCAUCUUCUGAGCACUUAGUGGACACAAGCACACAGGUAAGCACAUCUCUGCAUUCGUUGGUCGAAGUCUCACACGCCCUCUAGAAGGUUCAUGUUCCUAGGUGCCCAUUGUACAGAGGACACGGCUGAGGUCACGGGCUGCCCCCAGGCAGUAACAGAGAUGAGAACCCAGUAGCUGGGUCACUCUCAGGCCCCUUGGCCUCACAAGGACCGAAAACGGGCCCUUCUCCCACGGGCCUCCAUACAAACCCGCAGAGCCUUCAGCAGCCCCAGGAGGAAGCAUACGGGGACCCGCCUGGCCCUCCUGCCCCGCACAGGGGGUCCAAGGAGUCACGUCCAAGUGCGCCUCCCCCUUGAACUAGUGGUUGAUGAGCCUCGCUCACAGGCCAGUGAUGUCCCCAAGUUCUCUGUCAUUAGAGCGGCUCUAUUUGUACCUCUUGAGCGGGGCCUGGGGGGGCCUGGGGGCUAAGGUUUUGUCCGUUUCCCCUGCUCUGGUGGCCUCUCCACUCCACGGAGCCACACGCGCUUUAGAAGCCCAUGUGUGGGGGCCUGACCUGAGCCUGCAGUAGAAGAUUUCAUCCCCAAGAGACCAGAAGAGACUGCGGCCCAGAGAGGCCUACCGACCUGCUCGAGGCCACACAGCAGGGCUCUUCCCACACCUGGACAGACACAGUCUCUUAGGCUGGGAGCUGUUCCUCCCAGGGGCGACCUGUCCACGCCUGAGCUGGUGGCCCCGUUCCACCCCCACUUGGGCUGUGAUGCCAUAUGGGAGGGGGCCUGAUUCAGCACCCUCCCCUCCCCCCCAGGGUCAUGCCCACAGCGCUUCUGGGCCUGCGGUUGGCACCACCAAUAAAGCCACAGCGGCAGAGCCGGGAAGAGGCCCA
rnacentral:lncRNA from 1 species